rnacentral:snRNA from 1 species
GGAUGUGAGGGCGAUCUGGCUGCAACAUCUGUCACCCCAUUGAUCGCCAGGGUUGAUUCGGCUGAUCUGGCUGGCUAGGCGGGUGUCCCCUUCCUCCCUCACCGCUCCAUGUGCGUCCCUCCCGAAGCUGCGCGCUCAGUCGAAGAGGACGACCUUCCCCAAUAGAGGAGGACCAUUCUUCGGUCAAGGGUAUAAGAGUAGCUGAGCUCCCCUGCUAGAACCUCCAAACAAGCUCUCAAAAAAUUUUUUUUCAAUAAAAGCAUUUCAAAUAUUAUCCAACUCUCUG